CUCCUCGCUGUCCACGUGCGUCAGCGCGAAGAGCUCGCGCAGCAGCAGCGGGUACUUGAGGACCCUCUGGAUGGGCUUGAUGAGAAGAUACACACACAGGACUGUAAGCCUGACACAGCGCGGGGACGCACAGCCAGACGGGGCCCAGCUUCCCUCUGAAUUCCCGCUGCCCCUGCUCUGCACAGACUCGCUGCCUCAGAGGACGCCCUCCACGGGCAGGCUGUCUGAUCCAGAGACCCGCCUGGUGCCAACGUGUCCCGUGACAGGUGUCAAAGCACAACACGUGUAAACCGUUUACACACAGCAGCUGUUCAUGUGCAGCCACGUGAGUGCUGACAAGGAAGUGCUUCCCUGACCCUCUUCUGUCACCAACCCGCUCCCGCUCCGG